UGAGUAACGCGUGAGGAACCUGCCCUUCAGAGGGGGACAACAGUUGGAAACGACUGCUAAUACCGCAUGAUACAUUUGAAUCGCAUGGUUUGAAUGUCAAAGAUUUAUCGCUGAAGGAUGGCCUCGCGUCUGAUUAGCUAGUUGGUGGGGUAACGGCCCACCAAGGCGACGAUCAGUAGCCGGACUGGGAGGUUGGCCGGCCACAUUGGGACUGAGAUACGGCCCAGACUCCUACGGGAGGCAGCAG
rnacentral:rRNA from 1 species